UACGAAGGGGGCUAGCGUUGCUCGGAAUGACUGGGCGUAAAGGGCGCGUAGGCGGCUCAUUGAGUCAGACGUGAAAUUCCCGGGCUCAACCUGGGGGCUGCGUUUGAUACCGAUGGGCUGGAGUUCGGAAGAGGGUCGUGGAAUUCCCAGUGUAGAGGUGAAAUUCGUAGAUAUUGGGAAGAACACCGGUGGCGAAGGCGGCGACCUGGUCCGAGACUGACGCUGAGGCGCGAAAGCGUGGGGAG
rnacentral:rRNA from 1 species